rnacentral:lncRNA from 1 species
AAUACAUUCACACUGCUGCAAAUCACCACUACCAUCUCCAGAACUGAAACUGUGUGUCCAUUAAACAAGAAUUCCUCAACAUGUCUCCACUCAACAGCUGGAAAAGAAACAAAAGAAAAUUUGAAAGGGGUGAUGUUCCAACAUAUCAAGUUCAUGAAGGGACAUAAUUAUGCUGUUAUGUGAAAGAAUCAACUCUGUGUGCUCAGCAGACCAUCCAGACACAUCCUAAGCAUUGUGUCUCCGAAGUAGAUCAGUUUAGCUGUGACAUCCUAUAGCAGUAUCUCUAUUAUGUGUCCUGUUCUAUUCAUCAGCAUCUCAACCGAAAAGACACACCCUGGUAAAUGUGACAGUUCCUUUUGGAGAAUGCAGGGAGAAAGACAGAAGAUAUACAUGUUUGACUGUGUGGGCAAGGUCCUUCCUCAAAG